GAUGAAGAACGCAGCGAAAUGCGAUACGUAAUGUGAAUUGCAGAAUUCAGUGAAUCAUCGAAUCUUUGAACGCAUAUUGCGCUCUCUGGUAUUCCGGAGAGCAUGCUUGUUUGAGUAUCAGUAAACACCUCAACUUCCAUAUCUUUUUUGAAAUGGGAGUUGGACUUGAGUGAUCCCAACGCUUUUCCUCACCGAAAAGUGGCGGGUUACUUGAAAUGCAGGUGCAGCUGGACUUUUCUCUGAGCUAUAAGCAUAUCUAUUUAGUCUGCCUAAAAAACAGAUUAUUACCUUUGCUGCAGCUAACAUAAAGGAGAUUAGUUCUUGUGCUGACUGAUGCAGGAUUCACAAAGACAGGCUUCGGCCGACUUUGUAAACUCGAUCUCAAAUCAAGUAAGACUACCCGCUGAACUUAAGCAUACAAUAAGCGGAGGA
rnacentral:misc_RNA from 1 species